UUUGCUUCCAACAUUUAAUCAAAUCUUAUGAACAAAUCUCUCAUAUCUUAUUCUGCGUCAUUUUCGAGUAUAUCAUGAUUCGUGCUUAAUAUAAUAUUUCCUACUGACACCCUCUUAACUUUGAAGCUGCUUUUCGUCCUUGCCGAUGGCGUGUGCUGCUGUUGGUGCGUUUCUAAUGUGGAAAAUAUUAAUUAUAAAAUAAUAAUUGAAUUGUGCUCGGACCAAGACCAGGUCUGGCAGCUUUGCUGAAAGAUAUCCUUCACACGCCAAGAGUUCAUUAGCGAUUGCCGGGGAACGAAACAAAUUGUGCGCAUCUGUUGGAUUUCAUGAAUCGAAAUUAGCUGCUGCGCAGAUUACGAUUUAAUGGAAUCAACAAAUAUGGCUCCAGAGCAGAGCCUUCCUGAUCUGAUUAAAAAUAGUUAAUGGAAACUGGCAGGUGUGCGCCAACUAGCAGGGAAAUUAAUAACGAAUAUUAUUAAUGAAGCUGCAUAAAUUAUGUAAAUUGCCAAUAAAUAUACCAUAUAUGCUAUUUGUACGGGCUACAGUUUUAA